rnacentral:rRNA from 1 species
CAAUAGCGUAUAUUAAAGUUGUUGCAGUUAAAAAGCUCGUAGUUGGACCUUGGACCUGGACAGGCGGUCCGCCUCACGGCGAGUACUGUCUUGUUGGGUCUUUCCUCUUGGGGAUCUGUUGUUUCGGCAGCAGGGAACCAGGACCUUUACUUUGAAAAAAUUAGAGUGUUCAAAGCAGGCUCGACGCCGGAAUAUAUUAGCAUGGAAUAAUAAAAUAGGACGUGCGGUUCUAUUUUGUUGGUUUUUGGAAUCGCCGUAAUGAUUAAUAGGGACAGUCGGGGGCAUUAGUACUCACAUGCUAGAGGUGAAAUUCUUGGAUUUUGUGAAGACUAACUUCUGCGAAAGCAUUUGCCAAGGAUGUUUUCAUUAA